AUUGAACGCUGGCGGAAUGCUUUACACAUGCAAGUCGAGCGGCAGCGCGGGGCAACCUGGCGGCGAGCGGCGAACGGGUGAGUAACACAUCGGAACGUGCCCUAUCGUGGGGGAUAACGAAUCGAAAGAUUCGCUAAUACCGCAUACGACCUGAGGGUGAAAGCGGGGGAUCGCAAGACCUCGCGCGAUUGGAGCGGCCGAUGUCGGAUUAGCUAGUUGGUGAGGUAAAGGCUCACCAAGGCGACGAUCCGUAGCUGGUCUGAGAGGACGACCAGCCACACUGGGACUGAGACACGGCCCAGACUCCUACGGGAGGCAGCAGUGGGGAAUUUUGGACAAUGGGGGCAACCCUGAUCCAGCCAUUCCGCGUGAGUGAAGAAGGCCUUCGGGUUGUAAAGCUCUUUCGGCAGGAACGAAAAGGUGCGGGCUAAUACCCUGUAUCAAUGACGGUACCUGAAGAAGAAGCACCGGCUAACUACGUGCCAGCAGCCGCGGUAAUACGUAGGGUGCGAGCGUUAAUCGGAAUUACUGGGCGUAAAGCGUGCGCAGGCGGCUUUGUAAGACAGGUGUGAAAUCCCCGGGCUUAACCUGGGAACUGCGCUUGUGACUGCAAGGCUUGAGUGUGGCAGAGGGGGGUGGAAUUCCACGUGUAGCAGUGAAAUGCGUAGAGAUGUGGAGGAACACCGAUGGCGAAGGCAGCCCCCUGGGUCAACACUGACGCUCAUGCACGAAAGCGUGGGUAGCAAACAGGAUUAGAUACCCUGGUAGUCCACGCCCUAAACGAUGCCAACUAGGUGUUGGGGAAGGAGACUUCCUUAGUACCGUAGCUAACGCGUGAAGUUGGCCGCCUGGGGAGUACGGUCGCAAGAUUAA
rnacentral:rRNA from 1 species